UUUCCGUAGGUGAACCUGCGGAAGGAUCAUUAGUGUAUAACCGAGGUACGAGGGCUGUUCCUGACCCGAAAUGCCGGGCCCGCCGGUGUGCCCUCUCACCUCGAUCGCACCCCUAUGUGUAUCACCGGCCGGGUCCCCCUUUGGCUUGUUCGGCGGGGGGCUUACGUUUUCCCUCAAACUUUGUAUGGAGUGUAGAAUGUAUUUUUUGUUUUUUCGAUCACGCAAGCAAUACAACUUUCAACAACGGAUCUCUUGGCUCUC
rnacentral:misc_RNA from 1 species